rnacentral:misc_RNA from 1 species
GUCUAGCCUCUGGAUGGGCCGUGUUUAUUACGUUUUCGGGUUUCUCUUCAUAGUGUUGGUGCUUCUUGUUGUAGUUUGUGCUGAGGUAUCCCUAGUUCUAACCUAUAUGCAUCUAUGCGUGGAAGAUUGGAAAUGGUGGUGGAAGUCUUUCUUUGCUUCUGGUUCAGUUGCCUUAUACAUCUUCUUGUACUCGAUUAAUUAUCUUAUCUUCGAUCUUAAGAGCUUGAGCGGACCCAUCUCAGCCACUCUCUACCUUGGUUAUUCACUCUUCAUGGUUCUUGCAAUCAUGUUCACAACUGGAACAGUCGGAC